UGGGCCCCCCAGUUGGACAAAUGUUCAACGGCCGCGGUAUCCUAACCGUGCGAAGGUAGCGUAAUCACUUGUUCUUUAAAUGAGGACUAGUAUGAAUGGCACCACGAGGGUUGCACUGUCUCCUUUCCCUAAUCAAUGAAACUAAUCUCCCCGUGAAGAAGCGGGGGUACUAAUAUAAGACGAGAAGACCCUAUGGAGCUUUAAAUUUCUCUUCAAACGCCAGACACAAACAUCUAACACUUUACAUUAACCCGACGCCUUGAAGAUGAAUUUUAGGUUGGGGUGACCAUGGAGAACAAAAUAACCUCCACGCUGAAAAGGCCUCCAAGCCUUGAGCCGAGGGCUACAACCCAACGCACUAAAAAAUUAACACCCAUUGACCCAAUAUUUUUGAUCAACGAACCAAGUUACCCUAGGGAUAACAGCGCAAUCUACUUCAAGAGUCCCUAUCGACAAGUGGGUUUACGACCUCGAUGUUGGAUCAGGGUAUCCCAGUGGUGCAGCCGCUACUAAAGGUUCGUUUGUUCAACGAUUAAAACCCUACGUGAUCUGAGUUCAGACCGGA
rnacentral:rRNA from 1 species